rfam:Candidatus Woesebacteria bacterium GWB1_43_5 gwb1_scaffold_4869, whole genome shotgun sequence.
UAGGAAUAAAUGUGAAUUUAUUCUGAUUAAAUAUCAGAAGUCUGCUGAAUUCAUAGUAGUCUCGCUCAGCGGGAUGAAGGGA